UACGUAGGGGGGCUAGCGUUGUCCGGAAUCAUUGGGCGUAAAGAGCGUGUAGGCGGUCCGGUAAGUCCGCUGUGAAAGUCGGGGGCUCAACCCUCGAAUGCCGGUGGAUACUGUCGGGCUAGAGUGCGGAAGAGGCGAGUGGAAUUCCUGGUGUAGCGGUGAAAUGCGCAGAUAUCAGGAGGAACACCUAUUGCGAAGGCAGCUCGCUGGGACGUGACUGACGCUGAGACGCGAAAGCGUGGGGGAGCGAACAGG
rnacentral:rRNA from 1 species